rnacentral:rRNA from 1 species
AACAGAGGGAAGCAAUACCGCGAGGUGGAGCAAACCCCUAAAAGCCGUCCCAGUUCGGAUUGCAGGCUGCAACCCGCCUGUAUGAAGUUGGAAUCGCUAGUAAUCGCGGAUCAGCAUGCCGCGGUGAAUACGUUCCCGGGCCUUGUACACACCGCCCGUCACACCAUGAGAGUCGGGAACACCCGAAGUCCGUAGCCUAACUUAUCUGAGAGGGCGCGGCCGAAGGUGGGUUCGAUAAUUGGGGUGAAGUCGUAACAAGGUACC